GUGAAGCGGCAACAGCUCAAAUUUGAAAGCUGGCCCUUUCAGGGUCCGCGUUGUAAUUUGUAGAGGAUGAUUCGGCGAGGGCUCCCGCCUAAGUCCCCUGGAACGGGGCGUCAUAGAGGGUGAGAAUCCCGUAUGCGGUGGGCUGCCUUAGCCGUGUGAAUCUCCUUCGACGAGUCGAGUUGUUUGGGAAUGCAGCUCUAAAUGGGAGGUAAAUUUCUUCUAAAGCUAAAUACCGGCCAGAGACCGAUAGCGCACAAGUAGAGUGAUCGAAAGAUGAAAAGCACUUUGGAAAGAGAGUUAAAAAGUACGUGAAAUUGUUGAAAGGGAAGCGCUUGCAACCAGACUUGUCCGCAGUUGCUCAGCCGGUCUCCUGACCGGCGUACUCUUCUGCGGCCAGGCCAGCAUCAGUUCGGGCGGUCGGAUAAAGACCUCGGGAAUGUAGCUCCUCUCGGGGAGUGUUAUAGCCCGGGGUGGAAUGCGGCCAGCCUGGACUGAGGAUCUCGCUUCGGCAAGGAUGCUGGCGUAAUGGUUGUAAGCGGCCCGUCUUGAAACACGGACC
rnacentral:rRNA from 1 species